UGGCCAUUCUUAGUUCGUGGAGUGAUUUGUCUAGUUAGUUCCGAUACCGAACGAGACGCAAAUAUGUUAAAUGGACGCUUUUAGUAUUAUGGUGUUAAAACUUUUAUGGCCUUCUUUUACGAACUCAGUAAAAUGUGUGAUUGUUUGACGAUAAAGAAGUUGAGCAAUAACAGAUCUGUGA
rnacentral:ncRNA from 1 species